AUUUAGUUAAGGUACAGAGUAGUCAUAAAAGAGGAUUCUAGAAACGUUCAAAGCAACAGAGGUAUACUAAAUCAAAUAUUGUGUUGUGUGAUGUUCCCAUUAUUCAUAAGAGAUUGUUAGAUGAUAUUGUGAUUACAGGGGGUAUGGGUGAAAGGAUAGUGUUAAAGAAAUCUAAAAUGGAUGUUGGUGUGAAUCCAUCUUUUUUAUCAGAGGCAACCAGGGGCAAUAGUCACUGUCGCCUACAGCCAUGAAACUGAUAAGUUACAAUUAUCGAGGUCUAGGGAACUCUUUGGCAGUUGCUAAUUUGAGGCGAUUGGUUCAAUCGUAAGUUCCCAAUCUCCUCUUCCUGAUGUAGACUCGUACAUUGAAGGAAAGGAUGCUUUUUCUUCGUAGCAGUUUGGGGUUCAAGGGUGGAUUUAUGGUUAGGGGUGUUAAUGGUGGAGGUGGUCUUCCUUGUUUCUGGGAUGACUCUGUUUGCCCAAUAUUAUUGUCCUAUUCUAUUAAUCAGAUUGAUUUUGAGAUGUCUUCUACUGGUGGUGGUGAUGUUUAGAGGUUGACUUGUUCUAUGGAUGGGCAGAACGGCAUUUAAAAUUUCAUUCAUGGCGGUUAUUGCAUCGGCUUUAGGGUACUUCCUCUCUUCCAUGGUUAGUGGUUGGGGAUUUUAAUGAGAUUUUAGCAAACUCAGAAAAAGCAAGAGGAAAUCUACAAUAUGAAAGGUGCCUGUAUGCUUUUCGUUCUGCUCUAGUUGAUUGUGCUCUUACUAAUUUGGGUUUUAGGGGCUAUCCCUUUACAUGUGAUAAUGGUAGAAGUGGCAAUGGGUUUGCGGUGGAACGUCUAGAUAGAGGGCUCAUGUUGGUGAGUUGGAUUCAUAAGUUUCAGGGUGUGGUUUUAUCUCAUUUGUUACGCUCUUGCUCGGACCAUAUCCCAAUUGUGGUUGAGAUCCAGAAACAACUUUUUUCUCAUCGAAGUAGGAGAUACAGGUUCCGAUUUGAAGCUAUGUGGUCUAGAGAACCUAGUUGUAUGGAAGUUAUUUGGUCUAGUUAGGGGAUGUUGGGUUUGGCGGAUUGGGGUGCUUGGGUUGCCAAUUGUUCAAAGGAGUUAAGUGAUUGGAGUCUUUCGGUGUUUGGCAAUUUUAAGCAACAGAAGUAGGCCUUAAUUGUUCAGUUUUUGCGGUUUGGUAAUUUAGAGGAUGAUGAUGUAUUACAGCAGAGGCAAUCUCUUAAAGUUCAAUUAUCCGAAGUGUCUCUUAGGGAGGAAAUAUGGUGGCGUCAAAGGGCAAAGAUUCAAUGGCUUAACGAAGGGGAUUGGAAUACACGGUACUUUCAUGCUGUAGCAUCUAAGAGGCAUCGAGUUAAUCAUACAGGUUCUCUUAUUGAUUUUGAUGGGCGUGAGCUUUGGGAUAUUGAGCUUCAUGAUCAUAUUGUUAGUUUUUAUUCUGAUUUGUUUACUUCUACUGCACUCGAGGUGGACAAGUCGAAUUUAAGCAGAAGAAAUACUUAGUGCAUUGAAUACGAUGCAUCUGUUAAAGGCGCCUGGUCCAGAUGGUCUCCCUCCUCUUUUAUUUUCCAGUGGCAUUGGUUAGUUAUUGGAUCGGAUGUUAUGCAGUUGAUAAUUUCGGUUCUUAAUGGUGGUGAGAUGCCUGAUGGGUUCAAUCAUACUCAUAUUUGUUUAAUUCCAAUGGUAGAGGAUCCUAAGUCUGCUUCUGAGUUCCACCCAAUUAGCCUUUGCAAUGUUAUUUGCAAAAUUGCCACAAAAGUCAUUGUAAAUCAGUUAAAACAUAUUUUAGGAGAUAUCAUUAAUGAGUCUCAGAGUGCUUUUGCACCGGGCCAUUUGAUAACAAAUAAUAUUUUAAUUGCUUUCAAAAUAUUCCAUCAUAUGAAGGUGAGUGGUAGGAAUUGUAGGUGGUUGAUGUCAUUAAAACUGGAUAUGGCGAAAGCAUAUGAUAGGGUGGAGUGGUCUUUUUUAAAAGCAGUAAUAUUACGUCUUAGUUUCUCUCCAAUUUGGGUUAAUACUAUUGUGAG
rnacentral:misc_RNA from 1 species